GGGUUAGUAGCCGCGGUAAAACGGAGGGGGAGAGAGGUGUUCGGAUUCACUGGGUGUAAAGGGCGCGUAGGUGGUUGUCUGUGUCUCAUGUGAAAACUCAGGGCUCAACUCUGAGAUUGCGUGGGAAACUAGGCAGCUAGAGGACGGUAGAGGGGAGUGGAAUUCCCGGUGUAGCGGUAAAAUGCGUAGAUAUCGGGAGGAACACCGGUGGCGAAGGCGGCUCUCUGGGCCGAUCCUGACGCUGAGGCGCGAAAGCUAGGGGAGCGAACCGGAUUAGAUACCCGGGUAGUCCUAGCCGUAAACGAUGGGUGCUAGGUGUUGGGGGGUAAAGACCCUUCAGUGCCGAAGCCAACGCGAUAAGCAUCCCACCUGGGGAGUACGGCCGCAAGGUUGAAACUUAAAUAAAUUGGCGG
rnacentral:rRNA from 1 species